CCUACGGGAGACAGCAGUGAGGAAUAUUGGUCAAUGGCCGUAAGGCUGAACCAGCCAAGUAGCGUGAGGGAAGACUGCCCUAUGGGUUGUAAACCUCUUUUAUGCGGGGAUAAAGGUGUCCACGUGUGGAUGUUUGCAGGUACCGCAUGAAUAAGGACCGGCUAAUUCCGUGCCAGCAGCCGCGGUAAUACGGAAGGGCCGGGCGUUAUCCGGAUUUAUUGGGUUUAAAGGGAGCGUAGGCCGGUCUUUAAGCGUGCCGGGAAAUUUUGUGGCUCAACCAUGAGAGUGCGGCGCGAACUGGAGACCUUGAGUGCGCGGAAGGCAGGCGGAAUUCGUGGUGUAGCGGUGAAAUGCUUAGAUAUCACGAAGAACCCCGAUUGCGAAGGCAGCCUGCCGCAGCGUUACUGACGCUGAAGCUCGAAAGCGCGGGUAUCGAACAGGAUUAGAUACCCUAGUAGUC
rnacentral:rRNA from 1 species